CCCAGGGGCUCCCGGCACCGCCUUCAUCGGCUCUGGGGGGGAGCAGGGGGAGCCGGACAGCGCCCCAGCUUAGCCAAAAGUGACUCAGACGGGAAGCAACCUCCACUCCUGUCAUUGCUUCCCCCCUUGCUUUGAGAGCAGUUUAUUUAACAAAUAUUUUCUGGAACACUUACUAUAUCCUAGGCACUAUUCUAAACACUUGACAGAUACCACCUCAUUUAAUCCUCGCAACGACCCGGUGCCAUUGGUAGAAUUAUCCCCGUUUUAGAGAUGAGGAAAUGGAAGCACAGAGAGAGUCUGAGCUCCCCACUCUACUUCUGUCUAUUUUGCAUCUUGAGGCUCUGAGGAUGAUUCCAUUAAAGAGUUCUGGUCUUCUGGAAACCCCUAAGGAAGAACCUGAGGCCCAGGCUGGUUAGAUGAGGAGCCUGGGGUCCCACGUAGGGAGAACAGGGUCAGCCCCCAGACAACUGUUCCUCUCAGUUUACCGUGCUGCCCGACUCCCUGCCUCCUCCAAAUACAACUUUUUUGUUCUUUAAAAAAGUAAAACUGCAAGCUCAUGCCAACUGGCUAAGAAGUGCUCAAUGGCAUUGUCCAAAUAGGAGUGUGUCCUGUGAGGAAAGCUGGGGAAAGGUGGUGCAAUUAAAAAGAAUACGUGUUUCUCAUCCUUGCGUUUAGGCUUCCUCCUCAGGCUGGGGAGUACUUAAUAGAGCCCACCAUCCCACCCCAGAUUCUCGUACCUUUUGGACAAUAAAGGAGAGAGCAAAGAUGGGGAGGAGACCGGCCCAGGGUUCUUAGUGGAACACAGCCAGCCUGCCCAGUAGCUGUACACCGGGAGGUCAGCCUGUGCAUGGUGUGUAAGGUUUAUGACUAUGUAAUUAAGUGUGCCAGACCCUAAGCAGGGGAUGAGGAAUUGAGAGAGAUAAGAUAGGAAGCAGUUGUUAAAAAGACAUUCUAUGUUUUGUACCAUUGUUUAUGAGACUUGUUGAAACCUCACAAAGAGAAAAUCUUCAGGAAGAUUCACAAAUCACAAGUCAGCACAGAAAGAGCAGCAAGUUUGGGACUCAAGGGUCAGACAAGCCACAAACCAAGGCCAAGAUGACAGGAUCACAUGAAAUGUUUAGUAAACACAAUGAAUCUGCCAACUACCAGUGGUGAAAGGAGCAGUCAAGCCUCCACGCAGAGAGUGUUCAUCUGGAAGGAAAUUUAAAAAAAAAAAAAAAAAAAAAAAAAA